UACGGAGGGUGCAAGCGUUAUCCGGAUUCACUGGGUUUAAAGGGUGCGUAGGUGGAUUGGUAAGUCAGUGGUGAAAUCUCCGGGCUUAACCCGGAAACUGCCAUUGAUACUAUCAGUCUUGAAUACCGCGGAGGUCAAUAGAAUAUGUCAUGUAGCGGUGAAAUGCUUAGAUAUGACAUAGAAUACCAAUUGCGAAGGCAGCUGGCUACACGAAUAUUGACACUCAGGCACGAAAGCGUGGGGAUCAAACAGG
rnacentral:rRNA from 1 species